CAUGCAAGUCGACGGAAAGGCCCAGCUUGCUGGGUACUCGAGUGGCGAACGGGUGAGUAACACGUGGGUGAUCUGCCCUGCACUCUGGGAUAAGCCUGGGAAACUGGGUCUAAUACCGGAUAUGACCAACUGUCGCAUGGUGGUUGGUGGAAAGCUUUUGCGGUGUGGGAUGGGCCCGCGGCCUAUCAGCUUGUUGGUGGGGUAAUGGCCUACCAAGGCGACGACGGGUAGCCGACCUGAGAGGGUGAUCGGCCACACUGGGACUGAGACACGGCCCAGACUCCUACGGGAGGCAGCAGUGGGGAAUAUUGCACAAUGGGCGCAAGCCUGAUGCAGCGACGCCGCGUGAGGGAUGACGGCCUUCGGGUUGUAAACCUCUUUCACCAGGGACGAAGCGUGAGUGACGGUACCUGGAGAAGAAGCACCGGCCAACUACGUGCCAGCAGCCGCGGUAAUACGUAGG
rnacentral:rRNA from 1 species